rnacentral:sRNA from 1 species
GCUGGGCAUGGUGGCGAAUACCUGUAAUCCCAGAAACUCAGGAGGCUAAGGCAGGAGGAUUGCAAGCUCAAGAUCAACCUUAGCAACUUAGUGAGGUCCUAAGCAACUUAGUGAGACCCUGUCUCAA